rnacentral:rRNA from 1 species
UCAUCUUCGGGGGUAGAGCACUGUUUCGGCUAGGGGGUCAUCCCGACUUACCAACCCGAUGCAAACUGCGAAUACCGAAGAAUGUUAUCACGGGAGACACACGGCGGGUGCUAACGUCCGUCGUGAAGAGGGAAACAACCCAGACCGCCAGCUAAGGUCCCAAAGUCAUGGUUAAGUGGGAAACGAUGUGGGAAGGCACAGACAGCCAGGAUGUUGGCUUAGAAGCAGCCAUCAUUUAAAGAAAGCGUAAUAGCUCACUGGUCGAGUCGGCCUGCGCGGAAGAUGUAACGGGGCUAAACCAUGCACCGAAGCUGCGGCAGCGACACUAUGUGUUGUUGGGUAGGGGAGCGUUCUGUAAGCCGUUGAAGGUGUAUCGUGAGGUAUGCUGGAGGUAUCAGAAGUGCGAAUGCUGACAUAAGUAACGAUAAUGCGGGUGAAAAACCCGCACGCCGGAAGACCAAGGGUUCCUGUCCAACGUUAAUCGGGGCAGGGUGAGUCGACCCCUAAGGCGAGGCCGAAAGGCGUAGUCGAUGGGAAACAGGUUAAUAUUCCUGUACUUGGUGUUACUGCGAAGGGGGGACGGAGAAGGCUAUGUUAGCCGGGCGACGGUUGUCCCGGUUUAAGCAUGUAGGCGGAGGUUCCAGGUAAAUCCGGUACCUUUUUAACGCUGAGGUGUGAUGACGAGGCACUACGGUGCUGAAGUAACAAAUGCCCUGCUUCCAGGAAAAGCCUCUAAGCAUCAGGUAACACGAAAUCGUACCCCAAACCGACACAGGUGGUCAGGUAGAGAAUACCAAGGCGCUUGAGAGAACUCGGGUGAAGGAACUAGGCAAAAUGGUGCCGUAACUUCGGGAGAAGGCACGCUGAUAUGUAGGUGAAGUGAUUUACUCAUGGAGCUGAAAUCAGUCGAAGAUACCAGCUGGCUGCAACUGUUUAUUAAAAACACAGCACUGUGCAAACACGAAAGUGGACGUAUACGGUGUGACGCCUGCCCGGUGCCGGAAGGUUAAUUGAUGGGGUUAUCCGUAAGGAGAAGCUCUUGAUCGAAGCCCCGGUAAACGGCGGCCGUAACUAUAACGGUCCUAAGGUAGCGAAAUUCCUUGUCGGGUAAGUUCCGACCUGCACGAAUGGCGUAAUGAUGGCCAGGCUGUCUCCACCCGAGACUCAGUGAAAUUGAACUCGCUGUGAAGAUGCAGUGUACCCGCGGCAAGACGGAAAGACCCCGUGAACCUUUACUAUAGCUUGACACUGAACACUGGUCCUUGAUGUGUAGGAUAGGUGGGAGGCUUUGAAGUGUGGACGCCAGUCUGCAUGGAGCCAUCCUUGAAAUACCACCCUUUAAUGGCUGGUGUUCUAACGUGGACCCGUAAUCCGGGUUGCGGACAGUGUCUGGUGGGUAGUUUGACUGGGGCGGUCUCCUCCUAAAGAGUAACGGAGGAGCACGAAGGUUAGCUAAUCCUGGUCGGACAUCAGGAGGUUAGUGCAAAGGCAUAAGCUAGCUUGACUGCGAGAGUGACGGCUCGAGCAGGUGCGAAAGCAGGUCUUAGUGAUCCGGUGGUUCUGAAUGGAAGGGCCAUCGCUCAACGGAUAAAAGGUACUCCGGGGAUAACAGGCUGAUACCGCCCAAGAGUUCAUAUCGACGGCGGUGUUUGGCACCUCGAUGUCGGCUCAUCACAUCCUGGGGCUGAAGUAGGUCCCAAGGGUAUGGCUGUUCGCCAUUUAAAGUGGUACGCGAGCUGGGUUUAGAACGUCGUGAGACAGUUCGGUCCCUAUCUGCCGUGGGCGCUGGAGAAUUGAGGGGGGCUGCUCCUAGUACGAGAGGACCGGAGUGGACGCAUCACUGGUGUUCGGGUUGUCAUGCCAAUGGCAUUGCCCGGUAGCUAAAUGCGGAAGAGAUAAGUGCUGAAAGCAUCUAAGCACGAAACUUGCCCCGAGAUGAGUUCUCCCUGAGACUUUAAGUCUCCUGAAGGAACGUU